UACGGAGGGUGCAAGCGUUGUCCGGAAUCACUGGGCGUAAAGGGCGCGUAGGCGGCUCGGUAAGUAGGGGGUGAAAUCCUGCGGCUUAACCGCAGGGCUGCCUUCUAAACUGUCGAGCUUGAGCACGGUAGAGGCAGAUGGAAUUCCCGGUGUAGCGGUGGAAUGCGUAGAGAUCGGGAAGAACAUCAGUGGCGAAGGCGGUCUGCUGGGCCGUUGCUGACGCUGAGGCGCGACAGCGUGUGGAGCAAACAGG
rnacentral:rRNA from 1 species